ensembl:lncRNA
ACAGGUUUGCUGUUUAAAGAUUUCCUUUGGCUCUCAGCAGAUAAGAGGCCAAUAUACUCAAACUCUUAUCUACUGCAGUGAAUACAUUAAGUGGCAUUGAUAAGGUUGGAAAUGUGGCAUAGGCAUAUUGAGUCUAAUGGCUUGUUAAGUGCAUGUGUCAGCUUCUUCUUUCUGAAAACUUCAGGAAGAACUGCAUGCUCCUGAUAAAUUUAUUUAAAUUGCCACCCUUGACACACAAACAGAAUAGAAUACCUUAAUUAGAGUAAGAAAGUUGUUCACUUUCCUGCGUCACUAAUGGAGAUUGACAGAGGACUUACUUAGAGAGUUAUAAAUAGAAUUUAGGCUGCUGUGAGGAAAAGAGAAACCAAAAUGAUACCAGCUGUACCAGGAGAAGAACUGAAGAGGCAUCCAAGGAUGUUUUCCUAGUCAUCAAUUCCCAGGUCUUCACUAUUUUUAGGGGCUGACAGUUUUAUAAAUAAGUCAGCAAGGGCUUUUCCACCUUACCUUAAUCUGCUAUGAGUUGCUGGUUUGAGCUCAAGUGGUGACAAUUCAAAGAAGAACAUUCAUGGGGCUAUGUUUUCAACAGAACUGGUGAAACCAUAUCCACACAGGCUAUGGAAGCAGACUCAGCAGACUUGCUGUUCAAAAGACCAUUCCUAAGGAUUUUUAAGAAUUUUUUUUCUGUUGAAAAAAAAAAAACCUGUAUUUCCAAUCUCAUCUGCAUGUACUGCCACAACAUACUGGAUGUAAAUAAAUUUAAAGAGAUUGUGGACGGUAAGGUCUUGUGGAAGGAUCUACUUCAUGGAUGGCAUCUGCUACUGUGCACAUUCAUUCAUUCAUUGAUGUUAAACAUGUUCUUCACAACCCAGAAUUCAGAGGUGACUUUUGCACAUAUUAAUUUAAAAUAUCUUCUACAAAUGUUAUGCAAGAAUGUCCUCUGGUUUAGUGCUCUUUGUCCUCCAUGUACCCGCUUUUACUGAUGUCUAUCCUCCUUUUUAACAAUCAAAGAAUAGCCAGCCUAUCCAGGUCUAAUUUAUAGCUGCUUUUCAGACAAAACACAUAUUUCACUCCAGGGCAUACUCCUGGCGUUUGUUUUGUUUUCGUCUUUUCCUGUAAUGCAUGACUUGCUUUAUUGUACCAUCUUGUAGUCUGUUGUUCUCAACCUUCUUCAAGUUCUGACCCUAUUUUAUAAUAAUGAAGUAACCUGCAAUCCCCCUGCAGCGUUCACGUAAAUAGUUGCCUGACGUGGAGACACUGGCAAUGUUGGUGCUGCUUGAACUCCUACUAUUCCUCCUGCCAACUCCAGCCCCACCACUUUAAAACUAGGGAGGGGAAAAUAGGCUGCUUCAAAAGGCCAAGAAAUAGAUUAUUUGACAGGGGCUACAACAACACAUAUAAGGUGACUUUCCCCCCCCCCAGAAAACACUUUGCAAUUCCCUUGGGGGUCCCAGCCCUCAGGUUGGGAAACUCUGAUCUAAAUUUAUAUAAUUUGCUGGCAUAUCCUGUCAUGAAUCUGCUUGUGGACGAUGCUGGCUAAGAUUAUUACAUUGAUGAGGCAGGGGAGUGAUCAGCCAAGCUUGGCCAUUUCCAGAUUCUUUUAUGUUUUUUUGUUUGAUCUGGUUUGGAUUUUGUUCUAAAUGUCCGCCCCUGGUAAAGAGAUACAUGAAAGGAGACAUUAGUGUAUGCUCUCUGAAGAAAGCAGGAGAUCUUGUAAACAUAUGGUCUUUUGCUCCAUGAUGUAUCAUUAAGCCCUGUUAAUGCUGCUGACCUUUGAACUGGAAAUUUACCAGACGCCCUCAAGGCGACAAACUGUGCUGUGUAUGGGUGUGUUUGUGGUUUACAUGCUUCUGCAACACUGGCUUCACUUCUAGAGCCCCAAGGCAAUAAACAGCUUGUUCAUGAUUUCCGUUUCA